rnacentral:rRNA from 1 species
UGGGGAAUAUUGGACAAUGGGCGCAAGCCUGAUCCAGCCAUGCCGCGUGAGUGAUGAAGGCCCUAGGGUUGUAAAGCUCUUUCACCGGUGAAGAUAAUGACGGUAACCGGAGAAGAAGCCCCGGCUAACUUCGUGCCAGCAGCCGCGGUAAUACGAAGGGGGCUAGCGUUGUUCAGAUUUACUGGGCGUAAAGCGCACGUAGGCGGACUUUUAAGUCAGGGGUGAAAUCCCGGGGCUCAACCCCGGAACUGCCUUUGAUACUGGAAGUCUUGAGUAUGGUAGAGGUGAGUGGAAUUCCGAGUGUAGAGGUGAAAUUCGUAGAUAUUCGGAGGAACACCAGUGGCGAAGGCGGCUCACUGGACCAUUACUGACGCUGAGGUGCGAAAGCGUGGGGAGCAAACAGG